rnacentral:rRNA from 2 species
GAUACUUGGUGUGAAUUGCAGAAUCCCGCGAACCAUCGAGUCUUUGAACGCAAGUUGCGCCCGAAGCCAUUAGGCCGAGGGCACGUCUGCCUGGGCGUCACGCAUCGCGUCGCCACCCCCCUCGUGCGGGGCGGCGGAUGUUGGCCUCCCGUGC